UUUUUCCUCUGCAAUUUUUGAACCUCGCCGGAGCUGGCCGGAGAAGACGGUGGCGCUGGUCACCGUCUGUUCUCCAGAUUUCAUCAGGAUCGUUCGUUCAUGUUUCCAGAUGUAAUCUCACGCGUCCUUUGUUAUGACCUUUUUUAAUGUUCCAUGUGACUCGUUUGACUCACGUGUUUGGUAGGCGCGCGCUGUGAUCCACAUGAUGUGCCAACUCAACUAAUGAGCUCAGAUCCAACGCUCCACGCUUUUCACUUUUUUUAAUUUCUG
rnacentral:lncRNA from 1 species